rnacentral:rRNA from 1 species
GACGAACCGUGCGAACGUUGUUCGGAAUCACUGGGCUUAAAGGGCGCGUAGGCGGGCGGCCGCGUCCGGGGUGAAAUCCCACGGCUCAACCGUGGAACGGCCUCGGAUACGGGCGGCCUCGAGGGGGGUAGGGGCAUCUGGAACUGUGAGUGGAGCGGUGAAAUGCGUUGAUAUUCACAGGAACUCCGGUGGCGAAGGCGAGGUGCUGGACCCCAUCUCGACGCUGAGGCGGCGAAAGCUAGGGGAGCGAACGGG